CACGUAGGGGCGAGCGUUGUCCGGAAUUACUGGGCGUAAAGGGCGCGCAGGCUGUUAUGCGAGUCUGCUGUGAAAUGUACCGGCUCAACCGGUGCCUUGCGGCGGAUACUGCAUAGCUGGAGUACUGGAGAGGGAAGUGGAAUUCCCAGUGUAGCGGUGAAAUGCGUAGAUAUUGGGAAGAACACCGGUGGCGAAGGCGACUUGCUGGGCAGCAACUGACGCUGAGGCGCGAAAGCCAGGGGAGCAAACGGGAUUAGA
rnacentral:rRNA from 1 species